rnacentral:rRNA from 1 species
GAUGAACGCUAGCUACAGGCUUAACACAUGCAAGUCGAGGGGCAGCAUGGUCUUAGCUUGCUAAGGCCGAUGGCGACCGGCGCACGGGUGAGUAACAAGUAUCCAACCUGCCGUCUACUCUUGGACAGCCUUCUGAAAGGAAGAUUAAUACAAGAUGGCAUCAUGAGUUCACAUGUUCACAUGAUUAAAGGUAUUCCGGUAGACGAUGGGGAUGCGUUCCAUUAGAUAGUAGGCGGGGUAACGGCCCACCUAGUCUUCGAUGGAUAGGGGUUCUGAGAGGAAGGUCCCCCACAUUGGAACUGAGACACGGUCCAAACUCCUACGGGAGGCAGCAGUGAGGAAUAUUGGUCAAUGGGCGAGAGCCUGAACCAGCCAAGUAGCGUGAAGGAUGACUGCCCUAUGGGUUGUAAACUUCUUUUAUAAAGGAAUAAAGUCGGGUAUGUAUACCCGUUUGCAUGUACUUUAUGAAUAAGGAUCGGCUAACUCCGUG